GACCACUCCGAUGGUCUAAGUGGUUAGAGCUUCCGCCUUGGAUGCGGGAGGUCGCAGGUUCGAACCCAAGCAGGGUCA